UCAUCAUCAUCAUCGUCGUCGUCGUCGUCGUCGUCAACAUGAAAGUCCUGCAUAAUGUUCUCUUAUCUUUUCUUCCGAAAAGAAACGGACACAAGAACCUACGGUGACGCAUAAAGAAAACCAGUACAAGCGAUUACAAAGAAUUCGUAAAUACGAAGUUAGUUCAUGAGAUUUGAAACGCAACUACUUGUACCAGUAUUGGAAUUCAUGGAGGCAUCAAUAGACGUCUUAGUUUUUAUGCGUUUGAAUUCUAGAAAAAAUAUACACCUUCUGUCAGAGAAAUACGUGCAACUUAUUGAAAUAAUCUUUUUCGGGAUAAAUUUAUGUGCAUAGACAUACAGACAGACAGACCCACCUAUAUUAAAUGAUUCACAAUGGAGUUAAGAAAUAAUCCAUCGUUAGCACAAAACACUGUACAUACUCUGAUGAUGACAGUUUAUUUUGGACUUUGAUAUUUACACGUUUGGAGUUACAUU